rnacentral:lncRNA from 1 species
GCAGUUCAGAUUUGCCAUUAAAAACAUGAGAGUUCAAAAUUGAUUAAAAAUGGAACAAUACACGGGACCCGUUUGCGCAGACCAAUAUACGUACUGUGCAGGCUGUGCAGCAUUUUGCAGCUAAGCUCAAGAACAGUUAAGUCGCGUGCACGGUAGCUGAUCGCUGGCUCAAGAGGCGCACAGCGCACGACCUUUACAAGCCACAGGUCAAUACAGGCGUCGCAGUCUCGCCUUCCCGUCCCGGCCAGCUCCGCAUGCCACAUUAAUGAACGCAGCCACACGAUCCGCGAGACAUGAGCUCUAUGCUUCACGUGUUGGCCCUGGCAGCGCAGGUUAAUGAAACGCGCGGCGAGAUAAUUUGCCGGCCUAAUCGCCGUCACCCGAGGCUGAGAGGACGAUUAGAUUAGGCAGCAGCAACAAUGCCAUCACGUUGUGCUGUGCCUGUGCGUGCGUUUGUUUUGUUUCACCCUGCAGCCGUCUCGUGAUUCAUGAG